GGAUCGAUGAUGACCCCACAAACGCAUUCCUUGGAAAAUCUGAACAAAAUGAGUGAGAACUCACUACCGUCUCCUCAUCGCAAACUGAGGUCC
ensembl:snoRNA SNORD116 Small nucleolar RNA SNORD116